rnacentral:rRNA from 1 species
UGGGGAAUAUUGCGCAAUGGGCGAAAGCCUGACGCAGCCAUGCCGCGUGAGUGAAGAAGGCCUUCGGGUUGUAAAGCUCUUUUACCAGGGACGAUAAUGACGGUACCUGGAGAAUAAGCCCCGGCAAACUUCGUGCCAGCAGCCGCGGUAAUACGAAGGGGGCUAGCGUUGUUCGGAAUUACUGGGCGUAAAGCGCACGUAGGCGGAUUGUUAAGUCAGAGGUGAAAUCCCGGAGCUCAACUUCGGAACUGCCUUUGAUACUGGCAAUCUAGAGUCCGGAAGAGGUUAGUGGAAUUCCCAGUGUAGAGGUGAAAUUCGUAGAUAUUGGGAAGAACACCAGUGGCGAAGGCGGCUAACUGGUCCGGUACUGACGCUGAGGUGCGAAAGCGUGGGGAGCAAACAGGAUUAGAUACCCCGGUAGUCCCUGAGCGGGCUGGCAAGGCGCAU